rnacentral:rRNA from 1 species
GCAUACGCCCUACGGGGGAAAGGGGGGGAUCGCAAGACCUCUCACUAUUGGAGCGGCCGAUAUCGGAUUAGCUAGUUGGUGGGGUAAAGGCUCACCAAGGCAACGAUCCGUAGCUGGUUUGAGAGGACGACCAGCCACACUGGGACUGAGACACGGCCCAGACUCCUACGGGAGGCAGCAGUGGGGAAUUUUGGACAAUGGGGGAAACCCUGAUCCAGCCAUCCCGCGUGUAUGAUGAAGGCCUUCGGGUUGUAAAGUACUUUUGGCAGAGAAGAAAAGGUAUCUCCUAAUACGAGAUACUGCUGACGGUAUCUGCAGAAUAAGCACCGGCUAACUACGUGCCARCAGCCGCGGUAAUACGUAAGGUGCAAGCGUUAAUCGGAAUUACUGGGCGUAAAGCGUGUGUAGGCGGUUCCGGAAAGAAAGAAGUGAAAUCCCAGGGCUCAACCUUGGAACUGCAUUUUUAACUGCCGAGCUAAAGUAUGUCAAAA